rnacentral:rRNA from 1 species
UACAGAGGUGGCAAGCGUUGUUCGGAAUUACUGGGCGUAAAGGGCGCGUAGGCGGCCCGCUAAGUCGAACGUGAAAUCCCUGGGCUCAACCCAGGAACUGCGUCCGAUACUGGCAGGCUUGAAUCCGGGAGAGGGAUGCGGAAUUCCAGGUGUAGCGGUGAAAUGCGUAGAUAUCUGGAGGAACACCGGUGGCGAAGGCGGCAUCCUGGACCAAUUCUGACGCUGAGGAGCGAAAGCCAGGGGAGCAAACGGG